AUGGUUGUUUGAACCGCAUGGUUCAGACAUAAAAGGUGGCUUCGGCUACCACUUACAGAUGGACCCGCGGCGCAUUAGCUAGUUGGUGAGGUAACGGCUCACCAAGGCGACUAUGCGUAGCCGACCUGAGAGGGUGAUCGGCCACACUGGGACUGAGACACGGCCCACACUCCUACGGGAGGCAGCAGUAGGGAAUCUUCCGCAAUGGACGAAAGUCUGACGGAGCAACGCCGCGUGAGUGAUGAAGGUUUUCGGAUCAUACAGCUCUGUUGUUACGGAAGAACACGUGCCGUUCGCAUAGGGCGGCACUUUGACGGUACCUAACCAAGAAAGCCACGGCUAAAUUACGUGCCAGCAGCCGCGGUUAAUACGUAGGUGGCAAGCGUUGUCCGGAAUUAUUGGGCGUAAAGGGCUCGCAGGCGGUUUCUUAAGUCUGAUGUGAAAGCCCCCCGGCUCAACCGGGGGAGGGUCAUUGGAAACUGGGGAACUUGAGUGCAGAAGAGGAGAGUGGAAUUCCACGUGUAGCGGUGAAAUGCGUAGAGAUGUGGAGGAACACCAGUGGCGAAGGCGACUCUCUGGUCUGUAACUGACGCUGAGGAGCGAAAGCGUGGGGAGCGAACAGGAUUAGAUACCCUGGUAGUCCACGCCGUAAACGAUGAGUGCUAAGUGUUAGGGGGUUUCCGCCCCUUAGUGCUGCAGCUAACGCAUUAAGCACUCCGCCUGGGGAGUACGGUCGCAAGACUGAAACUCAAAGGAAUUGACGGGGGCCCGCACAAGCGGUGGAGCAUGUGGUUUAAUUCGAAGCAACGCGAAGAACCUUACCAGGUCUUGACAUCCUCUGACAAUCCUAGAGAUAGGACGUCCCCUUCGGGGGCAGAGUGACAGGUGGUGCAUGGUUGUCGUCAGCUCGUGUCGUGAGAUGUUGGGUUAAGUCCCGCAACGAGCGCAACCCUUGAUCUUAGUUGCCAGCAUUCAGUUGGGCACUCUAAGGUGACUGCCGGUGACAAACCGGAGGAAGGUGGGGAUGACGUCAAAUCAUCAUGCCCCUUAUGACCUGGGCUACACACGUGCUACAAUGGACAGAACAAAGGGCAGCGAAACCGCGAGGUUAAGCCAAUCCCACAAAUCUGUUCUCAGUUCGGAUCGCAGUCUGCAACUCGACUGCGUGAAGCUGGAAUCGCUAGUAAUCGCGGAUCAGCAUGCCGCGGUGAAUACGU
rnacentral:rRNA from 1 species